rnacentral:rRNA from 1 species
AUUGAACGCUGGCGGCAUGCUUUACACAUGCAAGUCGAACGGUAACAGGCCUUCGGGCGCUGACGAGUGGCGAACGGGUGAGUAAUGCAUCGGAACGUGCCCAGUCGUGGGGGAUAACUAUCCGAAAGGAUAGCUAAUACCGCAUACGAUCUGCGGAUGAAAGCGGGGGACCUUCGGGCCUCGCGCGAUUGGAGCGGCCGAUGUCAGAUUAGGUAGUUGGUGGGGUAAAGGCUCACCAAGCCAAAGAUCUGUAGCUGGUCUGAGAGGACGACCAGCCACACUGGGACUGAGACACGGCCCAGACUCCUACGGGAGGCAGCAGUGGGGAAUUUUGGACAAUGGGCGCAAGCCUGAUCCAGCAAUGCCGCGUGCAGGAAGAAGGCCUUCGGGUUGUAAACUGCUUUUGUACGGAACGAAACGGCUCUGGUUAAUACCCGGGGCUAAUGACGGUACCGUAAGAAUAAGCACCGGCUAACUACGUGCCAGCAGCCGCAGUAAAAC